rnacentral:sRNA from 1 species
UUGCUACAUUCUCGCGACUAAUGCAAGCCGUCCCAGAUGGCGGCUUGCAUUAGUCGCGCGAACCUCUGUAACAAGACCCAGCUAUACCCUUUUAUCUGCAACGACAAUACAUUAACCUGAUUUGCCGUUGCUUCCUAGAAGAAAGGGGCCAACAUUGGCCCCUUUGC